AGACCGGUCUACUGGUCGUGCUUUUGUAUGUACUGGUUUUAUUGGUUCUCACCUUCUAAAGAACCAUAAUGUCAUUUAUUUGAUGUUAUGGGGAAUUAGGACUGUUACCUUGAAAAAAUUAGAGUGUUUAAAGCAAGCUUACGCUUGAAUACAUUAGCAUGGAAUAAUGAAAUAGGACAUCAGAUUCUAUUUUGUUGGUUUCUAGGAUCGAUGUA
rnacentral:rRNA from 1 species